AGUGAACGCUGGCGGUAGGCCUAACACAUGCAAGUCGAACGGCAGCACAGUAAGAGCUUGCUCUUACGGGUGGCGAGUGGCGGACGGGUGAGGAAUACAUCGGAAUCUACUUUUUCGUGGGGGAUAACGUAGGGAAACUUACGCUAAUACAGCAUACGACCUACGGGUGAAAGCAGGGGAUCUUCGGACCUUGCGCGAUUGAAUGAGCCGAUGUCGGAUUAGCUAGUUGGCGGGGUAAAGGCCCACCAAGGCGACGAUCCGUAGCUGGUCUGAGAGGAUGAUCAGCCACACUGGAACUGAGACACGGUCCAGACUCCUACGGGAGGCAGCAGUGGGGAAUAUUGGACAAUGGGCGCAAGCCUGAUCCAGCCAUACCGCGUGAGUGAAGAAGGCCUUCGGGUUGUAAAGCCCUUUUGUUGGGAAAGAAAAGCAGCAGAUUAAUACCCCGCUGUUCUGACGGUACCCAAAGAAUAAGCACCGGCUAACUUCGUG
rnacentral:rRNA from 1 species